rnacentral:rRNA from 1 species
UACACAGGUACUGCAUGGCUGUCGUCAGCUCGUGUCGUCGAGAUGUUGGGUUAAGGUCCGCCAACGAGCGCAACCCCUCGCAUUCAGUUGCCAUACGGGUAAUGCCGGGCACUCUGGAAGGACUGCCAUCGACAAGAUGGAGGAAGGUGGGGAUGACGUCAAGUCAUCAUGGCCCUUAUGUCCAGGGCGACACACGUGCUACAAUGGCCGGCACAACGGGAAGCGAGUUCGCGAGGACGAGCGGAUCCCUUAAAGCCGGUCGCAGUUCGGAUUGAAGUCUGCAACUCGACUUCAUGAAGCUGGAAUCGCUAGUAAUCGUGGAUCAGCCAAGCCGCGGUGAAUACGUUCCCGGGCCUU